rnacentral:rRNA from 1 species
UACGGGGGGGGUAAGCGUUGUUCGGAAUUACUGGGCGUAAAGGGCUCGUAGGCGGCCAACUAAGUCAUACGUGAAAUCCCUCAGCUUAACUGGGGAACUGCGUGUGAUACUGGAUGGCUUGGAUUUGGGAGAGGGAUGCGGAAUUCCAGGUGUAGCGGUGAAAUGCGUAGAUAUCUGGAGGAACACCGGUGGCGAAGGCGGCAUCCUGGGACCGACAUUGACGCUGAGGCGCGAAAGCCAGGGGAGCAAACGGG